AUGUUCCCUGCAUCUCUGCUGCUGCUUCUUGCAGCUGCAUCCUAUGUCCACUGUGAUGUGGUUCUGACCCAGUCUGGGGGUCAGGUGGGCAGUCCAGGAGGGAGGCUCUCUCUCACCUGCACAGGGUCUGGCUACACAUUUAGUAGCAAUGCUAUGGGCUGGAUCAGACAGGCACCCCAGAAAGGCUUGGAGUGGAUUGCAUAUAUCAGCAGCCCAAGCGGUAGUAAUAAAUAUUACUCAGACUCUGUAAAGGGAAGAUUCUCCAUCUCCAGAGACAAUGACAGGAGCACAGUCACCUUGGAGAUGAGCAGUCUGAAGCCUGAAGACACAGCUGUGUAUUACUGUGCUCGAUACUCCCAGUGUGUGAAGUGA